CUUGAACUAAAUAAGAGGUCCAGCCUGCCCAGUGAAAUUAUUCAACGGCCGCGGUAUCCUAACCGUGCGAAGGUAGCGUAAUCACUUGUUCUUUAAAUAAGGACUAGUAUGAAUGGCACCACGAGGGUUCUACUGUCUCCUUUUUAAAAUCAGUGAAACUAAUCUUCCCGUGAAGAAGCGGGAAUUUUUUUAUAAGACGAGAAGACCCUAUGGAGCUUUAAACGAAUGACAUUUGCUUAAUCUAAUAUUUUAUUUUCAAGAAAUAUAGCAUUAUGAUCCUUAGUUUUCGAUUGGGGUGAUCACGGAGAAAAAUUUAACCUCCACGCCGAAAGGGUUUAUUCCCUAAGCAAAAAGCUACAGCUUUAAGCACUAAAAAAUUAACGUAGUUUGACCCAAUAUUUUGAUCAACGAAC
rnacentral:rRNA from 1 species